UGUGUUAGUAAUAAAAUUAUGAAAGCAAAAAAUUAUGGCGGUAUUUUAAGCUUUUCAGAGGAAUUUGCUCUUUAAUGGAUAAAACACCCAAAUCUUACUUAAAUUUGUUAAAUCAAUUUGUAUACCACUAUAAAAACAAUUAAUAACUUUAAUUGUUAAAAAUUAUUUACAUUAAAUUAUGUUAAGUCAAGGUGCAGUAAAAAUUUAAGAAUGAAGUGAAUUACAUUUCUUUUUAGAAACAAGAAAUUAAAUUUAUAAAUAGGAUUUGAAAGUAAAAUUAAAAUAGAAUGUUAAUUUGAAUAAAGCUCUAAAAUAUGUAC
rnacentral:rRNA from 1 species